rnacentral:rRNA from 1 species
GGGAGUGCGGUGGAGCAUGUGGUUUAACUCGACGAUACACGAAGAACUUACCUGGACUUGACAUAGUAAGAACUUUCUAGAGAUAGAUUGGUGUCUGCUUGCAGAAACUUAUAUACAGGUGUUGCACGGCUGUCGUCAGCUCGUGUCGUGAGAUGUUGGGUUAAGUCCCGCAACGAGCGCAACCCUCGUCAUUAGUUGCUAACAGUUCGGCUGAGAACUCUAAUGAGACUGCCUACGCAAGUAGGAGGAAGGUGAGGACGACGUCAAGUCAUCAUGGCCCUUACGUCCAGGGCUACACACGUGCUACAAUGGGAUAUACAAAGAGCGGCAAUACGGUGACGUGGAGCAAAUCUUAUAAAAUAUCUCCCAGUUCGGAUUGUAGUCUGCAACUCGACUACAUGAAGUUGGAAUCGCUAGUAAUCGUAGAUCAGCUAUGCUACGGUGAAUACGUUCCCGGGC